rnacentral:rRNA from 1 species
GACAGAGGGUGCAAGCGUUAAUCGGAAUUACUGGGCGUAAAGGGCGCGUAGGUGGGAGAAUAAGUCUGAUGUGAAAGCCCUGGGCUUAACUUGGGGAUGGCGUUGGAAACUGUUUUUCUGGAGUGAAGUAGAGGGUAGCGGAAUUUCCGGUGUAGCGGUGAAAUGCGUAGAUAUCGGAAAGAACACCGGUGGCGAAGGCGGCUACCUGGACUUUAACUGACACUGAGGCGCGAAAGCAUGGGGAGCGAACAGG